CGAUGGGUCCGACCAAGAUGGCGCUCUAACAACAAGCAGAUCGAUGUGCUCUGUAAGCUCAAACAUUGUAAUUGGCUAGUAGUGUUAUUAGUUGAAAGCUAUUUUACUCUGUGCAAAGAGAGAAUAUAAUAUAAAUACUACAGAAUUAGUCCCUGUUUGUGAUAAGAUGGGUAAAUCGGAGAAAAGGAAGAACAAAAACGUGUCUCUGGGGACAGCUAACGCUGCUAAUGUUAGCAGUAACGUGAGUGAAACGUUGGGAGCCUCAUGUAGUUAUGAAACGGAAAAAUUACACAAUUAUUCAAAAAUUAGUGUGGACUUUGACGAAUUUAUGAUGUGUGAGGAAGAAUUCCCUGCACUUCCAGAAACUCCAUGCAAAUCACCUGCUACAAAACAACGGAAAACUGAAAGUUCGGAGGUUGCCAUUCUCUCCCAACUCGGAGCUCUUUCUCAAUUAAUAAACACCCGUUCUGAUGCUUUAGAAAAUGUGAUCGGAGAAAACACAAGAGCGAUUACCUCCAUGAAGGAGGUAAUUAAUGAAAAUACAAAACAAAUUACAAGUGUGAAAGAAGCUAUCGAAUUUGUGAGUGCUGAGGUUAACCAUCUGAAAAAAAAGUAUGGAGUGAUGGAAUCCACACUGAAUAAGGUAGAGGAAACGUGCGUGGGACACGACCGAAGGCUGUCACAGUUAGAAAGUUACUCGCGGCGGUGGAAUCUCAGGAUGCACGGCAUUCCGGAAAAUGAAAGAGAGGAUGUUCGUGGUAGGGUUAUAGACGUUUGUCAGCAUCUCUUACCAGAGUACAAGGACAGACUCUCCAGCGCCGUCGACACUGUACACCGGUUAGGUCGCAAGCAACCAAACAAGAACAGAGGAAUUAUUCUACAAUUUGCUUCCCGUUUCUUUCGCGAUGCUGUUUGGCGUGCAGCAAAGGACUCUGCCUUUUUGCGCGAAAAUAACAUUAAAAUAUCAGAAGACUUAUCCCUUGCAGAUAAAGAAAGAAGAAACAAACUAUGGCCAGCAGUGGAGAAAGCAAGAAAAGAUAAUAAACGAGCAUACUUCAUCGGAAGUAGGGCUUUUGUAGAGGGAAACGAAAUAUUCCCUCCUGCUUGAGACUUUACAUGGGAAGGUGUGUGAUGUUAAUAUUAAGUUGGUUAAAAAAAAAAUGUUUUUUUGUUAAAUUGAUGGCCUUUUUAAGACAAUUAAAACUGAUUUAAUAGUUUACUUCGCUAAUUUCUUAUUUUUACAAAGUUAAGCCAAUAGUAAAGGGAUAUUUUACAAAAAGGGCCUCAAUUUAGAAUUUGACUUUACAAUUUUAUUUAUUUAUUCUUUUUUCUUACUUUUCUAUUAACACACCUGAAAAAAAAUAUCACUGAAUAUAGUCUAUAAAAACUUUAUGGGCUAAAGUAAAAUUGUUCAACUGAGUAGCUUCUAUACUUUAGUAAUUUAAUCUGAUUUACAAAAAAUUUUUUGUUCUUUGAUGUAAAAUUUAUGCACCUUAAUUAACACUACAUUAUUUUUAUAGUUCAUAUAGAGUUUGCAGUUCUCAUCGUUCUGAAUGUAGCUUUGCAAAUCCUUUUUUGAGAAUAAUCUAGUUUAAUAUUCUAGGUUAUAUCUUCUUUGUUAUGUCUCUUUCUAUAAUUUCAUUUAAUACACGAGGGUUAAGAAAUACUCUAAAAAGAAAAGCUAUAUUUUUGUAUAUGAAAAAGUUUAAAACUGAUUUUUGUUUUUUGCAAGAAUGUCAUUCUGUAAAAGAGGACUAUAAUUUUUGGAGAUCUCAGUGGGGUUUAGAUUUAUGGAUGGCUCAUGGUACAAACAAAUCAGCUGGUGUUUGCAUCCUUAAAAAUCAAUUUAAUGGGAAAAUUAUUUGCUCUGAAUGUGACUCAAAUGGCCAUUAUAUUUGUCUUGUAACUGAAAUAUCCAAAUCAAUGUUUAUCAUUGUUAAUAUUUAUGGGUUUAAUCAACAAAAAGAAAAUGAAAAACUUCUUGAUCUAAUAGAACAACACAUUUUGAAAUUACUUACUAAAUACCCAAAUGCUUUUUUAAUCCUUGGCGGAGAUUUUAAUGUUGCAUUGGAUAAUAGGUUAGACAGAUGGCCUCCAAAAUCACCUGAUAACUCAAAUCUUUAUUUUAAAACUUUCAUUGAACGAUUCUGUUUAGUUGAUAAUUGGAGAGACACUCAUCCUAAUCAAAAAUGUUUCACAUGGGGAAAUAACUCUCUUUCCAGACAAUCCCGUAUAGAUUUGUGGCUUAUCUCAAGAGAUUUAAAUAAGGCUAAUUCAGACAUUAUUCCAUCACCCUUUUCUGAUCACAGAUGCAUUUCGAUAACGAUUCCUUUUUCAGAAACUGCCAACUCAUGUAGAAUCAAUUCUUACUGGAAAUUGAAUUGUUCAUUGCUUAACUAUAAAGAAGUAAAUGAAAAAAUCGAAUUUAUAAUUUGCAAGUACUGGAAAAAAGCAAACGAGGAAAAUGUUUUUGGAAAGAAUUGGGAGUUAGCAAAAUAUGAAAUCGGAAAGUUUUUAAGAACAUUUAGCAGUAAAUUAGCGAAAGAAAGAAAAGAAAAUGAAAAUAUUAUAAUAUGCAAAAUUUCUGAUUUUCUAUCUAAAACUAUUUUGUCUGAUAGUGAAAAGGUUGAAUUUACCCAUUAUCAAAAUAAAUUAGAUCAAAUCUAUCAGGAAAAAGCAGAGGGAGCAUUUAUUAGAUCACGGAAAAGAUGGUUGGAAGAAGGUGAGCAGAAUUCUUCUUAUUUUUUUAGAUUGGAAAAGCAACAACAGCAAAAAAAUCUAAUUGAAAAACUUAUAAUUAAUCAAUCAAUAUGUGAAGACCAGAAGACUAUUGCUAAUUUUUGUGCUAAGUUUUAUAAUGAUUUGUACACCUCUAAAUUUAAUAAACAAAAUGCUUUAGAUUUUUUCGAAACAUUAUCUUGUGUAAAAAAAUUGGAGAAUGCUGAUCAGGCUUUUCUUGAAGCUCCAAUCACAUUAACAGAAGUUGAAGAAGCAAUUAAAUCAUUAAAACGGAAUAAAUCUCCUGGCACUGAUGGUUUCAUUUCAGAAUUUUACCAUAUGUUUAGUAAAAAUAUUGCUCCCUUCUUGUUAAGUGUUUAUAAGGAAAGUACAGAUAACUCUUUUCUCCCACCUACUUUAUGCCAAGGUUUGAUUACGCUAAUCCCCAAACCAAAUAAAGAUCGAAAUUUAUUAGAUAAUUGGCGUCCAAUAACUUUGUUGAACAACGACUACAAAAUAAUUGCUAUAGUUUUAGCUAAAAGAUUAAAAGUAAUUUUACCUUCUAUUAUUGAUGAAACUCAGUCAGGCUUUAUGCCAAAUAGACAUAUAUCUAAUAACAUAAGAUUAAUUUUAGAUAUCCUAGACUAUUCUGAUAUGAUUGAUGGAGACAGUUUCAUAUUUUUUUUGGAUUAUUAUAAAGCCUUUGAUACUUUAGAACAUGGUUUUUUAUUUCAAGCGCUUAAAGAAAUUGGGUUUGGUGCAACUUUUUGUAAAAUGAUUAAAAUGUUAUAUAAAAACAUAAAUAGCUCUAUUAAGUUAAGCAGUGGUACUUCCCCAAGAUUUUUUUUACAUCGUGGAGUAAGGCAGGGAUGCCCAGUAUCACCUUAUUUGUUUUUAAUUGCAGUACAGUUUCUUAAUUUACAUAUCAAAAGGAGUAAUUUAAAAGGAAUUACUAUUGGAAGUACAGAGUUAAUUAUAAGUCAACUAGCAGAUGAUACAACAUUGUUUUUAAAAGAUUCAUCUCAAGUGGCGGCUGCAUUAAAUACUCUACAAACAUUUUCCAAUGCAUCUGGUUUAAAUCUUAAUUUAAAUAAAUGUGAAUUACUUCCCAUUAAAAAUUGUGGUGUUUCCUCAAUUUGUGGAGUAGCUGUUAAAAACUCAGUAUCUUACCUUGGCAUAAAUAUAACUAACGAUAAAAAUAGAUGUGAUGCUAACUUUAAUCCAAUUGUUGCAAAAACU
rnacentral:lncRNA from 1 species